rnacentral:rRNA from 1 species
GUAGGAUAGAGGCCUACCAUGGUGGUAACGGGUAACGGGGUGUUAGGGCACGACACCGGAGAGGGAGCCUGAGAAACGGCUACCACAUCCAAGGAAGGCAGCAGGCGCGCAAAUUGCCCAAUCCCGACACGGGGAGGUAGUGACAAUAAAUAACAAUACAGGGUUCUUUCGGAUUUUGUAAUUGGAAUGAGUACAAUUUAAAUCUCUUAACGAGGAACAAUUGGAGGGCAAGUCUGGUGCCAGCAGCCGCGGUAAUUCCAGCUCCAAUAGCGUAUAUUAAAGUUGUUGCAGUUAAAAAGCUCGUAGUUGAAUUUCGGGAUCAAUACGUCGGUCGUGCUUCGGUACGUACUGGCGUCAUUGAUUUCUCCCUUCUGACGAACCACGAUGUCAUUAACUUGGUGUCGUGGGAAAUCAGGACUGUUACUUUGAAAAAAUUAGAGUGUUUAAAGCAGGCUCACGCUUGAAUACAUUAGCAUGGAAUAAUGAAAUAGGACGUUCGAUCCUAUUUUGUUGGUUUUAGGAUCAACGUAAUGAUUAAUAGGGAUAGUUGGGGGCAUUAGUAUUCAAUUGUCAGAGGUGAAAUUCUUGGAUUUAUUGAAGACUAACUACUGCGAAAGCAUUUGCCAAGGAUGUUUUCAUUAAUCAAGAACGAAAGUUAGGGGAUCGAAGACGAUCAGAUACCGUCGUAGUCUUAACCAUAAACUAUGCCGACUAGGGAUCGGAUGAUGUUAAUUUUUUAAUGACUCAUUCGGCGCCUUACGGGAAACCAAAGUGUUUGGGUUC